GGGGUAAACGGGUGGAGCCCUAAAGGUCGAACGAGGAGAUUCAGUAUCCACCCCGCAGGGCCGUUCUGCGCGCGCCGGGUUCAACGGCGGUCGCUCUCGGGCGGCCGCCGGCCCGCGUCGCAGUCUCGCGGCUCGCGGUGGAGCGCACUUCUCCUCUAGUAGGACGCCGCGACCCGUCGAGCGUCUGUCUAAGGGCCGGUGGCGAGCCCGUCGCGCCUCGCGCGCGGCGGAGCCCCGGUUUUUUACCCCGACAGACUGCCCGACGGUCCAGAUCAGGAAGAGGCCCGCGAGUCUUUCGAAACUCGCGUUCGGACCUCGCGCGAGCGUUCGGUCGGAACCCACUUGCGGACUCGUCCGCGGCGGGCCGGCCGGCGCUGCCGGCGCGGGUGCUCCUCGAACAGCGGCCUGCUCCGGUCCGCGGCGCUCAAAACUGGGCGGCCCACCCGGCCCGUCUUGAAACACGGACCAAGGAGUCUAACAUGCGCGCGAGUCAUUGGGUCCCUCUAAACCCAAGGGCGCAUUGAACGAAAAGGCCGUCCUCGCGGCGGCCGAGGGAGGAUGGAGGCGGCGCUCGCGUCCCUCCCGCACUCCCGGGGCGUCUCGUCCUACCUCCGCUCGUCGGUCGAAGGUGAGGCGCACCCAGAGCGCGCACGUUGGUACCCGA
rnacentral:rRNA from 1 species